CCGCCAGUUCUUCUCCCGGAGGCCGAGAACAAUCUCGAAGCAACAUAUCCAACACACACAGAGAAAAAAACAGAAAAACACAACGCUGACCGUCGCCACGGAGACACACUGACAAGACGCACGGUGGGACAGACGAGGGGACAACCAUGGAUCGUCACAAGGAAGAGCAAAAGAACAUUGCAAUGCAGUACAGAUCAAAGAAGGGGUGUUUUUUCUGGAGGGUGGGGGUGUGUGGCAUCCUGACAGUCCUCCGUGGGCCGGCGGGUGUAUGUGGGAGAGAGGUGGGCGGGGAAGGGGGGAUUGCGGCUGGUGUUUGGCGAAGAGAGGACUCUCCUCGACUACGCGUAUUCUUAAGCAAUAACAACGUGAUCCGUAUUAUCCACCCAAGAAUACCCGUCACCGAAGAGAGUCUUUCAGUGAACCCGGGGGGAGCUAAGCCGCAAACUGCGUGAGCGGCGGCGGCGGCGCCGCCACUGCCGCCCUUGCGUCACCAUUGCCAUUGUCACCAUGGCCAUCGGCGCCGCCAUCAGCAGCCACCCUUCAGUCCCCCUCGUGCCACAUAGACACAGACACACAGGCAGAGAGAGUGGGGCAGUGGCGUCCAUUGAAGACGAGGCGAGGUUCCACCAACGGUUCCUCUGCAAAAGGAGAAGAAGGUGGCGUUUCUUUUCCAACCGAGCCGGGCAGCGUGUUUGGAGGGUACAACAAAAAAAAAAAGAAUUGAUUCGCUUACGGCUGGAGAAAGAGGGCGUGGCUCAGGCCAAACCCCUCCCCCCUUUCAAACAGCAGGCAUCUUACCUGGACGCCGCUGCCUCCGUCUUCUGGGAGCGUUCGCCGGCAACAUCUGUCCUCCCCCGCGCGGCCGCUAUCGCUGGGCGCAGCCCGGGCAUGGUGAGGUCUGUGGGAGGGGGGGUUCACACAGGGGGAGAGGAACAGGGUUAGAGGGGUGAGGACCAGCAACCUGCCAAUAGCCCCGUGCACGCCAUUAGGCCCCCGACCCCGUGCGAGGCAAGCAGAGGAAUCAACACAUGGGCUACACCGGGGGGGCAUGCAGAGAACUAAUUUGUUUGAUUAUAUAAAAGGGUGCCGCUUAUAUGCAGCGCAGCAGCCGCGCCGCAGGCUGAUUCCUGUUGAAUAUACGUAUCAAAAAUUCAUGCAGUGAUGGAGACACAUCACAACGACAUUUGCUCCCCUAAAAAAUCCAAAAUAAAAUUCCUAAAUGUUAAACCGGCAUUAAUUAUUAUGACCCCCCUCCCCUCCCCCCUUCUUCUUCUUGUUUUGGAAAAAUAAAAUAUCGAGGAGUUUAAACGUCGGAGCGGAGCCAUUAAUAAUGUAUGAAAAGUUCAGGCUAAUUUAUUCCGCUCCAUUCUAAUUGAACUAGCCGGCUGAAUGCAAAGGUCAGGCUCCAGCUAAGCCCGUCCAAAAUGAGUCCAUUGAUUUGCCCCCACUCAUCAAUAUUCACUAUUGCUCCGCGGAUGUUUUGGUUCAAAAAGGUAAAAGCUGGUUGGCGUGUGUGUGUGUGUGUGUGUGUACUCUUUCCAGAUUGCAUGUUCAUAGAAACUGAGUUAAGAUAUUGACAGCGAGAAAAAUUGUUUUAAAUGUGGACCAUAAAAAAAGGAGCGUAUUUGCUGUGGUGUCUAUGCUCAUUAUUCUGUGUGGACUCUGCAGAGGUUCUGAAGGUGGAUGGACAAACUGACGGGCAGACAGAUGGGGAACAGACAGGAAGAGGACGGAUGUGAGCAAAGAACAAACGAUGACGGAGAGAGAAGAAGAAGAAAGAAGAAAGCAGAUGUGCUGCUAAUCAACAAGUUUGCUUUUCCUUCUCUUUUGUUGUUUUUUUUUCUUCUCUAAAUCGCUCUCUCAUCCUCCACUCGGCCGGCAGCGGCACACACCAACACACGUCCACCCGAAAGAGGCAGAGCCCCCCGUUCACUCGCCCAAAAACCUCCAAGCUGCAGAGAGCUGGGAAUUACAACCCGCAGCCAAACACACACACACACACACACACACACACAGAUCGUCAGCUAACCUGGCCCAACCCUUGCCAUCUGUAAGGAUGGAGAGCAAGAGAACCUGAGGGCUUCAGCUGGUUAUCAUCUCCUUUCUCUCUCUCACACACACACACACACACACACACAGGUCGGCCAGCCAGAGUAUCAUUGAUUGUUGGGUGGGAGCCCCCCGGAGACCCAUCGGAUUACCCUGAGAGCAUCUCAAAAUCACACACCAAGAAUCUUCUCGUGGCUUUGCUCUCUUUCAAACUUCCCCCCAACACACACACACACACACACACUGACAAAUUACACACAAACGCACACACAGCGAACGCAGAGCACCACAGGUUGUUGGGAGAAGGAACACUGUGAAGGAUGUGAGUCAAAUACACUCUCCAGUCUUUUUAUUAGACUUCAUCCAUCACUCAAGUUAAAAACCCUCCACAAACCUCCUUUUUUCUCCUCAUUUCAAUUACACACAAGUCCGAUGAAAAUGGUAAUAGUGG
ensembl:lncRNA